rnacentral:rRNA from 1 species
CACGUAGGGUGCGAGCGUUGUCCGGAAUUAUUGGGCGUAAAGAGCUCGUAGGCGGUGUGUCGCGUCGGCCGUGAAAACCUGCAGCUUAACUGUGGGCUUGCGGUCGAUACGGGCAUCACUGGAGUUCGGCAGGGGAGACUGGAAUUCCUGGUGUAGCGGUGAAAUGCGCAGAUAUCAGGAGGAACACCGGUGGCGAAGGCGGGGUCUCUGGGGCCGAUACUGACGCUGGGGGUGCGAAAGCGUGGGGAGCAAACGGGG